rnacentral:rRNA from 1 species
UACGUAGGCAGCGAGCGUUUGUUCGGAGUUACUGGGCGUAAAGAGUGCGUAGGCGGUUUUCUAAGUUUGGUGUGAAAUCUCCCGGCUUAACUGGGAGGGUGCGCCGAAAACUGGAAGGCUUGAGUAUGGGAGAGGUAAGCGGAAUUCCUGGUGUAGCGGUGAAAUGCGCAGAUAUCAGGAGGAACACCGGUGGCGAAGGCGGUUCUCUGGGCAUGUCCUGACGCUGAGGAGCGAAAGUGUGGGGAGCGAACAGG